rnacentral:rRNA from 1 species
AGAGUUUGAUCCUGGCUCAGAACGAACGCUGGCGGCAGGCCUCAUACAUGCAAGUCGCGCGAUUAAAGCCCCUUCGGGGGUGUAUAAAGCGGCGAACGGGUGAGUAACAGGUGGAUAACCUACCCCCCGGCGGGGGAUAACAACUGGAAACGGUUGCUAAUACCGCAUGUGGUUGCGGAGACCUUGGUCUCUGCAAAGAAAGGCGCUUCACGGCGCCGCCGGGAGAUGGGUCCGCCCCCCAUUAGCUAGUUGGCGGGAUAACAGCCCACCAAGGCUUCGAUGGGUAGCCGAGCUGAGAGGUUGAUCGGCCACACUGGAACUGAGAUACGGUCCAGACACCUACGGGUGGCAGCAGUAGGGAAUAUUGCGCAAUGGGCGAAAGCCUGACGCAGCCAUGCCGCGUGAGUGACGAAGGUCUUCGGAUUGUAAAGCUCUUUUCUGAGGGAAGAACCGCCGGGGCAGGAAAUGGUCCCGGUCUGACGGUACCUCAGGAAUAAGGAACGGCUAACUCCGUGCCAGCAGCCGCGGUAAUACGGAGGUUCCAAGCGUUGUUCGGAUUUACUGGGCGUAAAGGGAGCGCAGGCGGACAGGUCAGUGGAAAGUGGAAGCCCGGGGCUCAACCUCGGACGUGCUUUCCAUACUGCCUGUCUCGAGUUCGUGAGAGGAAGGCGGAAUUCAGGGUGUAGCGGUGAAAUGCUUAGAUAUCCUGAGGAACACCGGUGGCGAAAGCGGUCUUCUGGCACGAUACUGACGCUGAGGCUCGAAAGCGUGGGGAGCGAACGGGAUUAGAUACCCCGGUAGUCCACGCCGUAAACGUUGUGCACUAGGUGUGUGAGGUAUCGACCCCUUACGUGCCGCAGCUAACGCAUUAAGUGCACCGCCUGGGGAGUACGGUCGCAAGACUGAAACUCAAAGGAAUUGACGGGGGCCCGCACAAGCGGUGGAGCAUGUGGUUUAAUUCGAGGCAACGCGAAGAACCUUAUCCUGGGCUUGACAUACACGGAUUAGUUCAUGGAAACAUGAAUGACGCUCUUCGGAGUGGAACGUGAACAGGUGCUGCAUGGCUGUCGUCAGCUCGUGCUGUGAAGUGUCGGGUUAAGUCCCUCAACGAGCGCAACCCCUAUCGUUAGUUGCCAGCGCGUAAUGGCGGGGACUCUAGCGAGACUGCCGGUGUCAAACCGGAGGAAGGUGGGGAUGACGUCAAGUCCUCAUGGCCUUUAUGCCCAGGGCUGCAAACGUGCUACAAUGGUAUGGACAGAGCGAAGCGAGGCCGCGAGGCGGAGCAAAUCGCAGAAACCAUGCCCCAGUUCAGAUUACAGUCUGCAACUUGACUGUAUGAAGUUGGAAUCGCUAGUAAUCGGGGAUCAGCUACGCCCCGGUGAAUAUGUUCCUGAGCCUUGUACACACCGCCCGUCAGGUCAUGGAAGCCGGGAGUGCCCGAAGUCGCUAUAUCUCAAUAGUGCCCACGGCAAGUUCGGUGACUGGGACU